rnacentral:rRNA from 1 species
UACAGAGGGGGCUAGCGUUGUUCGGAAUUACUGGGUGUAAAGGGUGCGCAGGUGGUUAGUUAAGUCUGAUGUGAAAUCCCUGGGCUCAACUCAGGAACUGCAUUGGAAACUGGCUAGCUUUGAGUACCGGAGAGGGAAGCGGAAUUCCUGGUGUAGCGGUGAAAUGCGUAGAUACCAGGAGGAACACCGGUGGCGAAGGCGGCGUUCUGGACUGCAACUGACACUGAGGAACGAAAGCCAGGGGAGCAAACGGG